rnacentral:rRNA from 1 species
AUUGAACGCUGGCGGAAUGCCUAACACAUGCAAGUCGAGCGGGGGUAGCAAUACUUCAGCGGCGGACGGGUGAGGAACACAUAGGAAUCUGCCUUUAGGUAGGGGAUAGCCAGGGGAAACUCUGGGUAAUACCGCAUGAUCUCGAGAGAGCAAAGGGGCGCAAGUCUCGCCUUUAGAGGAGCCUAUGUCUGAUUAGCUAGUUGGCGGUGUAAUGGACCACCAAGGCGAUGAUCAGUAACUGGUCUGAGAGGACGAUCAGUCACACCGGAACUGAGACACGGUCCGGACUCCUACGGGAGGCAGCAGUGGGGAAUAUUGGACAAUGGGCGAAAGCCUGAUCCAGCAAUUCCGCGUGUGUGAAGAAGGCCUUCGGGUUGUAAAGCACUUUAGUUGGGGAAGAAACAGCUUGGCCACACCAAGCCUUGACGGUACCCAAAGAGUAAGCACCGGCUAACUCUGUGCGAGCAGCCGCGGUAAGAC